rnacentral:rRNA from 3 species
UACAGAGGGUGCGAGCGUUAAUCGGAAUUACUGGGCGUAAAGCGCACGUAGGUGGUUCUGUAAGUCGGAUGUGAAAGCCCCGGGCUUAACCUGGGAACUGCAUUCGAGACUGCAGUACUGGAGUAUGGGAGAGGGAAGCGGAAUUUCCGGUGUAGCGGUGAAAUGCGUAGAUAUCGGAAGGAACAUCAGUGGCGAAAGCGGCUUCCUGGCCCAAUACUGACACUCAUGUGCGAAAGCGUGGGGAGCAAACAGG